rnacentral:rRNA from 1 species
UACAGAGACUGCAAGCGUUAUUCGGAUUCACUGGGCGUAAAGGGUGCGCAGGUGGCCAUGUGUGUGAGGUGUGAAAGCCCGGGGCUUAACCCCGGAAUUGCACCUCAAACUACAUGGCUAGAGCAUUGGAGAGGGGAGCAGAAUUCACGGUGUAGCAGUGAAAUGCGUAGAUAUCGUGAGGAAUACCAGAGGCGAAGGCGGCUCCCUGGACAAUUGCUGACACUCAGGCACGAAAGCGUGGGGAGCAAAAGGG